AACUGGCCCGCAAAGUCCCGCU
rnacentral:miRNA from 8 species